UGUCUCUGUGUGUGUUUGUGUGUUUGUGUGUCUGUCUCUCUGUGUGUACAUGUGUGCAUCUGUGUGUGUGUCUGUCCAUGUGUCUGUGUGUCGCUCUGUGUGUGUGCUUGUGUGUGUGCCUGUGUGCAUAUGUAUGUCUCUGUGUGUGUGUCCGUCUGUCUAUGUCCGUGUGCGUGUCCGUGCGGCCGUGUGUCCGCUGUGCAGGGGGGCAGAGCUCAGUCCAAGGACCACCUCCCACUGCCUGGGGUGCAGAGCCCCCGUGUGCCGCACACAGCCUCGGUCAGGAAAGGGACUGGUGGCUCUGCGAGGGUCCAGGGGACAUUCCUGUCCCUGUCCCUGUCCCUGUCCCUGUCCUGACCGCUGCCAUCCCCAGGAAGGUGGGUCUGUUGUGUCCACACGCUUUGCCCAGUGACCAGUCCCUGCUUUCUGGCAAGGAUGUGGUUUCAACUGAGUGUUGUGAGCCCCUGGAUAUAUUUUGAAAUUCAAAGGAUUUUUUCUUACCCAUCCUGUUCAAGUAUUUUUCCCUUUCCUUGUGUAUCAAAAUAACAAUUUCCUUUCUUUCUGCAUGAUAGCAAACAUCUAUAAAGAACUCAGGUGAUCCUCACUGCUUGCAGGGCAGAAGCAAGCAGGUUUCAUAUGGCACAUGUAAACAUGUCAUUUAUCACCACCGAUCUCAAUGGAUUCAUCGUUUCCCUCUUCUCCCCUCUGCUGUGCUACUUUACAGUCAUAGAAAAGCCUCUCAGAUGCACCAGUUUGUAGACUCCUCACACAAGCACAGCCUUGCUUCAUAUCUCAUUACUGGCAGGAUCAAAAUGGCAUUUUUGGUGUUUACAGGGACUUACGUGAGAACUAUAACAUGACCUACAGUUUGGAGAACUGCCUUGUCCCAACUCUACCUCUGCAUCUGGGAUGGAUGUUGAAAAAUAAUCCAUCUCCAAGGAAAAAAUCAGACAUCCCAUUUUAUAGCUGAAGUAUAAUUCUUUGCUGAAUUUUUGGAUGUUCGCCACCUUUUUUUUUCAUGCUUGUACAUACUAUCUCCUCUCCCUUGGUGUGUCGUAUGAUGAUGCCUUAGCUGUUUGUUGCCCACAUUCUGCCACCUUUGGAGCCACAUACACGCACACAUUCAGGCCCUUGGCAUGUGUGACAUUCUCCAUGCCAUUGUGGGCCGCUGCUGGUCCAGGAAAGGAAUGCAUAGGCAAGGAUUUCCAGUGGGCCUGCAAUAGCUGGCAAAGGCCAAAGUUCAUUAAAGCAAAAUAAAUGUCACUUUCUUUUUGUGGAAUAAAUUAUC
rnacentral:lncRNA from 1 species